GACGAACGCUGGCGGCGUGCCUAAUACAUGCAAGUAGAACGCACAGUUUAUACCGUAGCUUGCUACACCAUAGACUGUGAGUUGCGAACGGGUGAGUAACGCGUAGGUAACCUGCCUGGUAGCGGGGGAUAACUAUUGGAAACGAUAGCUAAUGCCGCAUAAUAUUAAUUAUUGCAUGAUAAUUAAUUGAAAGGUGCAAUUGCACCACUACCAGAUGGACCUGCGUUGUAUUAGCUAGUAGGUGAGGUAACGGCUCACCUAGGCGACGAUACAUAGCCGACCUGAGAGGGUGAUCGGCCACACUGGGACUGAGACACGGCCCAGACUCCUACGGGAGGUAGCAGUAGGGAAUCUUCGGCAAUGGACGAAAGUCUGACCGAGCAACGCCGCGUGAGUGAAGAAGGUUUUCGGAUCGUAAAGCUCUGUUGUAAGAGAAGAACGGGUGUGAGAGUGGAAAGUUCACACUGUGACGGUAUCUUACCAGAAAGGGACGGCUAACUACGUG
rnacentral:rRNA from 1 species